rnacentral:rRNA from 1 species
AUGAACGCUGGCGGCGUGCCUAAUCCAUGCAAGUCGCGCGAACGGACGAGAAGCUUGCUUCUCUGAUGUUAGCGGCGGACGGGUGAGUAACACGUUGAUAACCUACCUAUAAGACUGGGAUAACUUCGGGAAACCGGAGCUAAUACCGGAUAAUAUUUUGAACCGCAUGGUUCAAACGUGAAAGACGGUCUUGCUUUCACUUAUAGAUGGAUCCGCGCUGCAUUAGCUAGUUGGUAAGGUAACGGCUUACCAAGGCAACGAUGCAUAGCCGACCUGAGAGGGUGAUCGGCCACACUGGAACUGAGACACGGUCCAGACUCCUACGGGAGGCAGCAGUAGGGAAUCUUCCGCAAUGGGCGAAAGCCUGACGGAGCAACGCCGCGUGAGUGAUGAAGGUCUUCGGAUCGUAAAACUCUGUUAUUAGGGAAGAACAUAUGUGUAAGUAACUGUGCACAUCUUGACGGUACCUAAUCAGAAAGCCACGGCUAACUACGUG